rnacentral:rRNA from 1 species
UACAGAGGGGGCAAGCGUUGUUCGGAAUUACUGGGCGUAAAGGGUGCGUAGGCGGCGCGGUAAGUCGGGUGUGAAAUUUCGAGGCUUAACUUCGAAACUGCAUUCGAUACUGCCGUGCUUGAGGACUGGAGAGGAGACUGGAAUUUACGGUGUAGCGGUGAAAUGCGUAGAUAUCGUAAGGAAGACCAGUGGCGAAGGCGGGUCUCUGGACAGUUCCUGACGCUGAGGCACGAAGGCCAGGGGAGCAAACGGG